rnacentral:rRNA from 1 species
GACGAACGCUGGCGGCGUGCUUAACACAUGCAAGUCGAACGGAAAGGCCCUGCUUUUGUGGGGUGCUCGAGUGGCGAACGGGUGAGUAACACGUGAGUAACCUGCCCUUGACUUUGGGAUAACUUCAGGAAACUGGGGCUAAUACCGGAUAGGAGCUCCUGCUGCAUGGUGGGGGUUGGAAAGUUUCGGCGGUUGGGGAUGGACUCGCGGCUUAUCAGCUUGUUGGUGGGGGAGUGGCUUACCAAGGCUUUGACGGGUAGCCGGCCUGAGAGGGUGACCGGCCACAUUGGGACUGAGAUACGGACCAGACUCCUACGGGAGGCAGCAGUGGGGAAUAUUGCACAAUGGGCGGAAGCCUGAUGCAGCGACGCCGCGUGCGGGAUGACGGCCUUCGGGUUGUAAACCGCUUUCGCCUGUGACGAAGCGUGAGUGACGGUAAUGGGUAAAGAAGCACCGGCUAACUACGUG